UAAUACGUAGGUGGCGAGCGUUGUCCGGAUUUACUGGGCGUAAAGGGCGUGCAGGCGGUCUGUUAAGUCUAGGGUGAAAGCUCCCGGCUCAACUGGGAGAGGUCCUUGGAUACUGACAGACUUGAGGGAGGCAGAGGAGAAUGGAAUUCCCGGUGUAGUGGUGAUAUGCGUAGAUAUCGGGAGGAACACCAGUGGCGAAGGCGGUUCUCUGGGCCUUACCUGACGCUGAGACG
rnacentral:rRNA from 1 species